rnacentral:rRNA from 1 species
GACGAACGCUGGCGGCGUGCUUAACACAUGCAAGUCGAACGGAAAGGCCUCUUUCGGGGGGUACUCGAGUGGCGAACGGGUGAGUAACACGUGAGUAACCUGCCCUUGACUCUGGGAUAACUUCAGGAAACUGGGGCUAAUACCGGAUAGGAGCUCCUGCUGCAUGGUGGGGGUUGGAAAGUUUCGGCGGUUGGGGAUGGACUCGCGGCUUAUCAGCUUGUUGGUGGGGUAGUGGCUUACCAAGGCUUUGACGGGUAGCCGGCCUGAGAGGGUGACCGGCCACAUUGGGACUGAGAUACGGCCCAGACUCCUACGGGAGGCAGCAGUGGGGAAUAUUGCACAAUGGGUGGAAGCCUGAUGCAGCAACGCCGUGUGCGGGAUGACGGCCUUCGGGUUGGAAACCGCUUUCGCUCAUGACGAAGCUUUGUGUGACGGUAGUGGGUAAAGAAGCACCGGCUAACUACGUG